AAAUUCGAAAAAAUAUUUAAUCUUGUCAACCUACUAUUGAAAUAAUAAAUUUUAUAUUCUACUUAAAUUUAAGUGUUCGUAUAUUCAAAGUAGUUUCACGUCCAUUUGAGUGACUCCUCAUCUUUAACCUUUGUGUCUGUAAUAGAAUCCCAAAGAGGGGACAUCUUUCUCAAUAGAGUUACAGACUCGACAAUUUCUUUAACAGCCUUAUCUACAUCUUCGUGUUUAGUGAACCUCCCCAGUCCAAAGCGAAUGGAUGUAUGGGCAACAUCUUCUCCGACACCGAUUGCUCUUAAAACGUACGAUGGUUCCAAUGAUGCAGAUGUGCAUGCACUUCCGGAUGAUAAAGCCAAAGAAUAUAGCUUCAUCAUUAGUGAUUCCCCUUCAACUCCAGUAAAACUUAAGUUUAGGUUCCCAAACAUACGGUUUACGCCACACCCGUUGAGUUCUACAUCUGGUAGUUGAGUGGUAAUUCCUUUGUAAAGUUUAUCAUAUAGAGACUUGACGUGUAUAGAAUCUGAAUUCAUUUCAGAAGAAGCAAUCUUACAUGCUUCACCAAAUCCAACAGCUAAUGGUACUGGCAUCGUGCCAGAUCUCAUUCCUCGCUCCUGGCCGCCACCAAAAAUUAGUGGUUUUAUACGUCUUCUAGGCUUACUACGAAUAUAAAAUGCUCCUAUUCCUUUCGGACCGUACACCUUAUGUGCGGAAAGAGAUAAAAAGUCUGCAUUCCACUUAUCAACAUCAAUAUUGAUUUUUCCUAGUCCCUGGGCUACAUCACUAUGGAAAAGAACAUUAUAUUUUUUACAGAUUUCUCCUAUUAAAUUCAUAGGCUGAAUUACUCCAAUCUCAUUGUUGACAUGCAUAAUAGAAGCCAGAAUAGUCUCUCCAGGGAUUAUGGACUUUUCCAGCUCCUCUAAAGAAAUAAGGCCUUUAUUGUUGACUUUAAGAUAAGUCACCCUGAAACCUUUUAGUUCAAGUUCUCUUAAUGUUGACAGAACACAUUUGUGUUCAAUUU
rnacentral:antisense_RNA from 1 species